GCGCACGUGGCGUAAUUGGUAGCCGCGCCAGACUUAGGAUCUGGUGUCUUACGACGUGAAGGUUCGAGUCCUUUCGUGCGCA
rnacentral:tRNA from 1 species